rnacentral:rRNA from 1 species
UACGGGGGGAGCAAGCGUUGUUCGGAUUUACUGGGCGUAAAGGGCGCGUAGGCGGCCACCGCAAGUCAAUUGUGAAAUCUCCGGGCUUAACUCGGAAAGGUCAACUGAUACUGCGGGGCUAGAGUGCGGAAGGGGCAACUGGAAUUCUCGGUGUAGCGGUGGAAUGCGUAGAUAUCGAGAGGAACACCUGCGGCGAAGGCGGGUUGCUGGGCCGACACUGACGCUGAGGCGCGAAAGCCAGGGGAGCGAACGGG